GAAGGUGUAUCUAGAAAGACAAAUUAGAGCUUGGAAAGUAAAGCAUUUCAUUUACAUUGAAAAGUAUAUUGUGUAAUUCAAUUUAAUUUGAUAAUAAUAAAAAUUUAUUAAUUUUUUUUGUUUAAAAAUUUAUUUAAUAAAAUUAAUUUUAGAUUGAUUUUUUUUUGUAUAGUAUAUAGGUCAAAUAAUUUAUAUAAUAGUUAAUUAGUAUUGUAAAAGAAUAUUGAAAUAUAUGAAAAAGUUUUAAAUUAAAAGUAAAUUUUAUAUAUUGUACCUUGUGUAUCAGGGUUUAUUAAUUAAAAGUUAAAAAUUAAAUUUUUCUCGAAUUUAAGAGGGUUAAUUUAUUAUUUAAUUUUUUGUUUCAUAAAAAUUUAAAAUAAUAAAUUAGAAAUGAAACGUUAUUCGUUCUUAAAUAUAUCUAGUUUUUUAAGAAAUAAAUUAAAUUUAGAUUAUUAAUAGAUAAUUAGUUAUUUAAAUAAUAAAUUAUUAUUAAUAGUUAAUAUUUUAGGGGAUAAGCUUUAAAGUAAAUUUUAUAAUAAUUUUUUAAUUUGAAAAUUAUAGAUUUAGAAAUAGUCAUUAAUUGUAAAAAUGUUAUAAUUUAUUUUAAAUUAAAAAUAAUUUUUAUUAAUUUAAGUUUUUAUUAAAAUAAUUUUUAAAAUUAUAUAAGAAUUAAAAUAAUGAUAAAAUUAGUAUAUUUAAUUGUUUUAAAAAUAUUAAUUGAAAGGUUAAAUUAAGGAACUUGGCAAAUAAAUACUCGCCUGUUUAACAAAAACAUGUCUUUUUGAAUAUAAUUUAAAGUCUAAUCUGCCCACUGAAAAAUUUUAAAGGGCCGCGGUAUU
rnacentral:rRNA from 1 species